UGGGGAAUUUUGGACAAUGGGCGCAAGCCUGAUCCAGCAAUGCCGCGUGCAGGAUGAAGGCCUUCGGGUUGUAAACUGCUUUUGUACGGAACGAAAAGCCUCUCUCUAAUACAGGGGGGUGAUGACGGUACCGUAAGAAUAAGCACCGGCUAACUACGUGCCAGCAGCCGCGGUAAUACGUAGGGUGCAAGCGUUAAUCGGAAUUACUGGGCGUAAAGCGUGCGCAGGCGGUUUUGUAAGACAGUGGUGAAAUCCCCGGGCUCAACCUGGGAACUGCCAUUGUGACUGCAAGGCUGGAGUGCGGCAGAGGGGGGAUGGAAUUCCGCGUGUAGCAGUGAAAUGCGUAGAUAUGCGGAGGAACACCGAUGGCGAAGGCAAUCCCCUGGGCCUGCACUGACGCUCAUGCACGAAAGCGU
rnacentral:rRNA from 1 species